UCACACUCCACCUUUUGCAGCCCAAAUACCCAUGGAUGCCCCAAGAGAUUUCCCUAUGAGACAGAAAAUUCUAGAACACCAGGAACUCUCAAAACUAGAUAUUUCAAAACUCUUAAAGACCUUAAAGAGUAAAUGUUUUCAUUGUCGAUUUAACAUAGAGUUACAUUAAGCAGCUAACACUUUCCCUUUCUUGAAUAAGAUUUCCUGUCUGUCACGUUGCCAUUCGCUUUCCUCAUGUUUUUGCGAUGGACUGCAGCUCCUUCCAUUCUGGGGAGCCUCCUGGGGCUGCAGCAAUCCAGCAUGACUCGGUCUCAGAAGGUCCUGGAAUGACUCGUUUCUCUCUCUGCCUCUCUGGGUAUUUCUCCAACCACAGGUUUGCAUCCCCAGGGGGAAGCCAGCUCUCUGGUCCCUCAUGCUAAGCUUUUUAAGCAGAUAGUACAGCCAGGCGGUCUUUAAACCCAAGGAGGCUUGCCCCUUCCCAAGACUUAAAGGAGUUCUAGAAGAGACUGUGAUAUUCAGGCCAGGUCCCUGUUUGAUGAACAGGGACACUCAAUUCCUGGCAAGUGGGGUGAGCGCCUCC
rnacentral:lncRNA from 1 species